UAAAUUAAUGAAUGUAAUUGAGACAUAUUGGUACCAUACUGUGCAGAUUGCAUGGUGCCUGCACUAGGAUGACAUGCAACUUUAUGAAGUGUUCCAUAAGUAU